rnacentral:misc_RNA from 1 species
UCUGGCUUAUAGCCAAGCGGUCUUACUAGAGUGCCCAACUUAAUGCUGGCAACUAGUAACGAGGGUUGCGCUCGUUGCGGGACUUAACCCAACAUCUCACAACACGAGCUGACGACAGCCAUGCAGCACCUGUCACCGCGUCCCCGAAGGGAACCUCUGGUUUCCCAGAGUAGCGCGGGAUGUCAAGCCUAGGUAAGGUUUUUCGCGUAGCAUCGAAUUGAACCACAUGCUCCACCGCUUGUGCGGGCCCCCGUCAAUUCCUUUGAGUUUUAAUCUUGCGACCGUACUUCCCAGGCGGGAUACUUAAUGCGUUAGCUCCGUUACCAACACUAUUAGGAAUGCUGACAACUAGUAUCCAUAGUUUAGGGCGUGGACUAC